AGAGUGUUAGCCACUUUCUCUGAUUUCUGAUUUUAUGAUAUGUCAUCCUGAUGUUUUCUGAGAAUAUGGGACAAAUGGCUGGACAUUCAACAUUUUUUUAAAUUGGUCAUAAGUUAGAGUUAAAAAAUUAACUCAGGAACAAAGCAUUCAGAUUAAGGAGUUGGAAUCAUUUCCUAAAACUUUGAAUUUUAAUAACAUUGAUCAAGGUAGAUUGUAUUCAUAAACUGCUUUGUAAAAAGGCAUCUCCUUUGUACAACUACUUAAACAUAAAAAAAAUUUAAGAAUCACAGUGUCUUUUUCCCUUCAAUGCAGGGAUCUAACUCAGUAAGUACUCUCCUUCCAUGAAGUUAAAUUCAUUUCACAUCGGGAAAGUGGCAGAAAUAAGGAUAAUUCAUCCUUAGGGGUCCUCUAACCAGAGCCAUCCUGGUGUAUGAACAGGGCAUUCCCCAAACACCCAUUCAGGAAUUAUUGAUGGCGUACUCAUUCCAUGCCACAUGCUAUUUUGUAUUUAACAUCCAGUGAAGAGCAAGUUUAUAGAAAACAAUAAAAGCAGUAACUAUUAUUCUAACAACAACAAUAACAGCAGUGAGUGCUUCUUAGGUAUGGACACUAUUCUCACUGGGUGUCCAUGUUGAUAAUUAGUUCUCAUCCAACCCUAUGAGACAGAUACUCUUUCUCUUCAUGUAACUGAUGAAAUUGAGACACAGAAUGGCUUUAUACAGUAAGCCACUUUACUCAUGGAUUUACUACUCAUGUUUUUGACCAAACAUGUUCAAAGAACAUUUUUUUAAUUAAAAAGGAAUUAAAACAAAAGUUAUAUAGCCCUGCUGAUGUGGAAAAGACCCUAGUCUUGUGUUAUGAUGAAACAUCUGUAGUACAGUACUCAACUCUCUGCAUUCUAAGCUUUCAUGGUUUUUCCUUACUGGCUCUCUCCUUGGUACCAUAUAGCUGUGAUAGAUAGCAAGGGUGAACUGUUAUGUCUCAUGGACAUAAAGACUAAAUACUAAGAGACAGAAGCUAG